GGAGAACAACAUUUAAAAAAUAUGAACCGCCCGUAUGUCAGCGGGGCAGAAAAAAGGAAGGAGGAAAAUAGCGUGAGUAUAUAUAACAGUAGUAGCUUAGCGGCUGGCGGCUACUACUUGUGUCAUAAAAGGGAAUAACUUAGCGGCUAUUACUGCAUAUGUCCUUUUGACAGUCACAUAAGAAAGCACCCCUGACCGGGACCAUCAUGGACUGACUCCAGACAGAGAUGAAGAAGACAUUGAUUCAGUUCCAUCAUGUCGUUUCUCUAACAUCACACAUUUUGAUUACAAUGACGCCAAUGUUGAUUAUGUUGGUGAUCGCGAUAGCAACAGUGCCACUGAUCUAGGGUGACCACAUUUUCAGACACCCAAACCGGGACCCUAGUGUACCGCACGUUCAUGCACGCGCCCAUGUAUGCGCUCAUGCACGCAUGUUAGUCAAUGUGCAUGUUUGUGGUUGGUGGAGCAGGGGAGCUGCCCCAGUUUGUUACUGUUUUGGCUGUCGUAUUUUUCCGCUCCUUGAGCUUUUUUAAUUAGAAUUGUUGCUUUGCUAUGUUGCUUUGUUUGUUUGGCUCUGGCUCAUCUGUGGAAACAUUACAGUAUUCUUAUUCUUAUUUUGGUGAAAAGCAGGGAUAUUUGUUGGGACCCGGGACACCUAGUUAGAAACCCGGGACAAUCCUGGGCAAACCAGGAUGUCUGGUCAACCUUAUACUGAUCACAAAUGAGCAAUAUUGACAUUUACCUUCCCCUGGCUCCCCAAGAAAGCUCUCACACUGUAGUGACACAGAAUAUAAUGUUUGAUCCAGGUAUACAGCUAAAGAAUAUGGAGACCACUGCACCUUUUUCUUACCUUUCCAAAAAAGUUGAAAAGGAAAGUUUUGAGUGAGGUUUGGCACAUACAGUUAUAAUCAAAAUUAUUCAACCCCCAUUGCAAAUCAGGUUUAUUGUCAAAAUGUACAGACUUUCAGCUGUUUGCAAAGAACAAAUCAAACAAAAGCUAUUGAAAUAGCUCAACACAAUGAAUGCUUCAAGUGGUUUCCCCAAAUUCAACUGAAAAUGCAACUUAUAAUGACUUCCCCGAUGAUAAGCGAUCAAGGAACAGGAUGCAAAAAGAUAGCGAAGGCACUGAAUGUUCCUAGAGACACCAUUUGAAGCAUAGUUUGCAUGUUCAAAGUCAAAGGAACGGUGGUUACACUACGUGGACGGGGCAGAAAAGGGAAGCUGUCAACAGCUGCAAAUAAAAUUCUGAGAAGGCAGGUUGUGAAAAAUCCUUGAGAGACUGCAAAAGACUUGCCGCAAGACUUAGUCGCAACAGGCUCUGAGGUUUCAGUGAGCACAGUAAAGUGCGUACUGAAAGCAAAAGUUUUCCAUGCCAGAACUCCAAGACGUACACCACUACUUGGCUCCAACAGGCUCAAAAUCAUAUAAAUAAGCCACUGGCGUUUUGGGAUUCUGCUCUGUAGAGUGAUGAAAUAAAACUGGGACUUUUCCGCACAAUGGAUCAGCAGUAUGUCUGGAGGAAGAAGAAUGUGUACACUGAAAAGAACACCCCAGUGAGCAAUUGAUGGCAACCCACCAACGUUUUGCUGCUGGCGGGCCGCAGGAGGCUAUAAUGUCCUACAGCCAGCCGUCCACCAGCUUUUGGUGCUUUUCUCCUAAUCUCUUUGUGUUUUGUUACCUGUUCGCAAUAGCUUUCCAAUAACUUGGAUAACUUGUCUAAAUCGUAUUUCUUAGUGUAUCAACAAGUUAGAAUGUUAUAAUAUAUGUGCUUAUUUCUUGUAACUUUUUCAACUGAUACGUAACGUUAGCUAAAUCGUGUUUCUUUAUUAUCGACAUCAUGUGGAUUACGUUACUCUUGUCAGAAACAUUUAGAUAGACUAGCUAAACCUGCACUUGUUACAAAUCCGUUACUGAGGUGUCUUUGUGUAUCCACGUUGUUCUUAGAUAGCCUGUGUGUGUCUUAUGCUGUUGGUUUUAUAAACCUCUUAUCUAAACAUUGCUUUCAGGUCAUGACGUGUUCUGUAGUUUUGUUCCCGGAGGAGGAUGACUGUGUGUGGCAAUAGUUCCACACCUGUGGCUCAAAGGGGGAGUUUGCUACUGGUGACCACACAGCAUCACCAGCCGGAAGUCCUUCAGCCACGACAAGUUUGCCAGAACUUGUUUACCACCUAAAGAUACCUGGGAGGCUGUCCUUUAUGAGCUCAUCAAGCAUGCAGACACGUGAGAGACCGGACGUGUAUAUCGCCAGAGAAGCGAAAAUCGUUCCAGCGUGGGCCCCUCCCACCCCAAGGACGCAAAUCUACACCACAACACCCUGUGGAUUGCAGCCCUGGAACAAGCACAGUACUCCAAGGCACCAGGGAGGUACUCCACGCCGCCAUGAAGAGGAGCACUACAUAGGGCAAGAAGGCAGAGGUAGGGGGAAGUUUUAGCUCUGCACAUGAAGAUCAUUUGGAGAAGAUCAAGUGGCUGACUGAAGAGAAGGUCGAGCUGAGGGCACAGCUGGCUCUACAAUCAGGAAGAAUCCUUCCAACCGGGAUGCCACUGACGAGGCUGUUCAGAACCAGGUCCCCAGGUACCAGAAAGGGGCAGUUGACCGUGCAGGUGGGAGAAGACGUCACGGCUGUACCAGGGACCUGCCAUGAAUAUGAAUGACAUCUCCAGCACAACCAAUAUUGCUGCUAAUCUAUGUUGUGGAAAUUCUGAAACCUGAUGCAUUCUUAAUGAUUAAAGGACUGAGUCCCCUUGUUUAGAUAAAUAGAUGAGUGUGGGAGAGGGGAUCUGGUAUAUGUCUUAGGGGGCAUUCUUGAUUGGUCACAGUAGAGUAUAGGGUUAAUCAUCUACCUAUUUGUAGGUUGUCCAGAUGAAGUCCCCCUCAAGGGUUGAGAAAGUUAACCAGAUGGGGGAGGACAACAUGUGACUUGUUUGAAACCUAGGACAUGUGAUAUAACAGCGGGAAUGUGUUUCAUUGACAAGACAGAUGGGCAGCAACUUACCACACCCCUUUUCUAUGUACUAUAUAUUGUUAAAUGACCUGUAUCGAGUCAGAGACUCCUCGGACGAUUAUGUUUGUAAGCGGUUGAUGUGUCUCUCUUAUUUGCAAAUUAUUAAUAAACUGUUAAUUGUGCUGAGA
ensembl:lncRNA